rnacentral:rRNA from 1 species
UUAAAUUUUAUUUAUUUAUUUGUUUAUAUUUAAAUAAUAAAAUAUUAAAAAUAAUUAUAAAUUUAAAAGUUUUAGUAUUGUUUAAAGAAAAAAUAAAUUUAAUUAUAGUGAAUUAGUAUUGUAAAAGAAAAUUGAAAUAAUUUGAAAAAUUAUUAUUUAGAAAGAAAAUUUAAUUUAUUGUACCUUGUGUAUCAGUGUUUAUUAAAUAAAAAAUAUUUAUAUAUUUUUCUCGAUUUUAAAAGAGUUAAUAUAAUAUAAAAGUUAAUGUGAUAAAAUUAUUUUAAAUAUUAUAUUAGAAAUGAAAUGUUAUUCGUUUUUAAAGGUAUCUAGUUUUUCAAGAAAUAAAUUUAAUUUAGAAAUUAUAAAUUUAUUUAAAAAAUUUAUUAGUUAAAUAAUUUAUAAUUUUAAUAUUUUAUGGGAUAAGCUAUAAAAUAAAUUUUUAAAAAUAAUAAAUAAAUUUAAUAAAUAUAUGUUUAGAAUUAGCAAUUGUUAAUAAAUAUGUUAUAAUUUAUUUUAUAAUAAAAAUUAUUUAUUAUAUUUUAAAUAUUUAUUGAAGUAUUAAUUUUAAUUUUUAAAAUUAAUUAAUAAUGAUAAAAUUAGUAUAUUUUUUGUAAAAUAAGUUUAAAUGAUAAGUUAAAAUAAAG